UACGAGGGGUGCAAGCGUUGCUCGGAAUUAUUGGGCGUAAAGGGUAGGUAGGUGGUCUCAUUUGUCUGGGGUGAAAGCCUUGAGCUUAACUCAAGAAGUGCCCCAGAAACGGUGAGACUGGAGUCUUGGAGAGGGUCGUGGAAUUCCCGGUGUAGCGGUGAAAUGCGUAGAUAUCAGGAGGAACACCGGUGGCGAAGGCGGGUCUCUGGGCCAAAACUGACGCUGAGGAGCGAAAGCGUGGGGAGCGAACAGG
rnacentral:rRNA from 1 species